rnacentral:tRNA from 1 species
UGGGGUUGUAUCUCAGUGGUAGAGCUCUUGCUUCACAUGCACGAGGCACUGGGGUCAAUCCUCAGCACCACAA